GGGGGUGUAGCUCAGUUGGUUAGAGCGCCGGCCUGUCACGCCGGAGGCCGCGGGUUCGAGCCCCGUCACUCCCGCCA
rnacentral:tRNA from 7 species